ACCUUUGCUUUUGCAGGAAAAAAUGGGGCAAGCGGGCAGGAAGAAGAGAAGCCCCGUGACUCCUCCCUGAGCCCCAGCCAGCCCCUGAACUGCCUCCCUGGGAAUGGUGGGACGGGCUGGACUCUGGAUUGCUCCCUCUGCAUGUGUGUGGGAUGGAGCCUGGAAACUGCCCAGAGCUGAGCCCAGGGAUUGAAAGGGACCAAGCAAGGGAGGUGAAGGAAGAAGGGAAGUGAGGCAGCAGGCAAGCAGCACCAAGUUCCUGUGUAAGCAGGGAAUAACUCCUGUCAGCAGCAAGGCCCCGACUGAAGUGGUAGCUGCAGUUGUUCCUGUGGUGUGGGCCAGUGGAACUGCAGGAGAGUGGAAGAGGGCAGGACCUGUAGGUAUUACCCCUGAUGUGGGAUCUCUCCUGGUAAGGCCAAGCCAGUAUCCUUUCAAAUCAGAAUGCCAGACUGGAUUGGUUGCAGGAACAGCUGAAUUUGCUCCUCCUGGUUUGCUUGUAGAAGGUGAAUGCCAGAACCUGCCAAGAAACCAAUGGCCAAGGGGAUUGAUUAGUGCAGGACCUGAGAGAACCCCCUGAAAUGACAACCUGGAGUAGUUUCCAGGAUUAGAUUGCAAAGAUGGCCUUUGCUGCAUGUCCUUGAGCAAGGAAAGCCAAGAGACCUUUGCUUUUGCAGGAGAAAAUGGGGCAAGCGGGCAGGAAGAAGAGAAGCCCCGUGACUCCUCCCUGAGCCCCAGCCAGCCCCUGAACUGCCUUCCUGGGAAUGGUGGGACGGGCUGGACUCUGGAUUGCUCCCUCUGCAUGUGUGGCUCUCCCCUCAGGAACUGCAGGAACUCCUGGUGCCGCCUGGGCCGAUGGAUUGGACGCCCCAGCCCCUCCGUUCCUGCCCAGCCCCUAGGGCCGUGUCCAGUGGUGGCACUGCCAGCCCUGCAGGGGAAGUGGGAAGGGCCUUUGCAGGUCUGGUGGGUCACAUUUACAGCAGUGGGAUGGAGCCUGGAAAGUGCACAGAGCUGAGCCCAGGGAUUGAAAGGGACAAACCAAGGGAGGUGAAGGAAGAAGGAAGAAGGGAAGUGAGGCAGCAGGCAAGCAGCACCAAGUUGCUGUGUAAGCAGGUGAGUUGUGUUGAGGUUCCUCAGGCAGGCACUGAGGACUUGGAGGGCUCCAGACAGAGCAGACCUGGGAAGGCCCUCGGUGGAGCUCCUUGGAAA